AGAGAGAUCAGCUUAUCGUGUGUGACUUGUGGGCGUGCGUGAGUUUCGGCCUCGCUGUUUGCAAGUUUGUGCGCUUUGGGUGUACUUUUUCGUAUGGUUGGCCAACAUCAGUUUCGAUUACUAUAAAAUGACUGGCGGAAUGUAGCUUCGAUUUCGGUUGAAGUGUUAUAGCCUCUGGUAGAUGUGGUAAUUGGGACUGAGGAUUGCAACGAAUAUCCUUUGGGCUAUCCGUCUGGCCUCUGAAAGUUGCUUGGGUGCUGAAAGCUUGCUUAUGGUUAUCUAAGUUAACGGUCAAUAGGUUAGAACGUGAUUACAUUCGUUAAGGAUGUUGACGUA
rnacentral:rRNA from 1 species